AUUGAACGCUGGCGGAAUGCCUUACACAUGCAAGUCGAACGGCAGCACGGACUUCGGUCUGGUGGCGAGUGGCGAACGGGUGAGUAAUAUAUCGGAACGUACCCAAGAGUGGGGGAUCACGUAGCGAAAGUUACGCUAAUACCGCAUACGAUCUAAGGAUGAAGGCAGGGGAUCGCAAGACCUUGUGCUCCUGGAGCGGCCGAUGUCUGAUUAGCUAGUUGGUGGGGUAAAGGCCUACCAAGGCGACGAUCAGUAGCUGGUCUGAGAGGACGAUCAGCCACACUGGGACUGAGACACGGCCCAGACUCCUACGGGAGGCAGCAGUGGGGAAUUUUGGACAAUGGGCGAAAGCCUGAUCCAGCAAUGCCGCGUGUGUGAAGAAGGCCUUCGGGUUGUAAAGCACUUUUGUCCGGAAAGAAAUGGCUCUGGUUAAUACCUGGGUCGAUGACGGUACCGGAAGAAUAAGGACCGGCUAACUACGUGCCAGCCGCCGCCGUAA
rnacentral:rRNA from 1 species